rnacentral:rRNA from 1 species
AACGAACGCUGGCGGCAUGCCUAACACAUGCAAGUCGAACGAGACCUUCGGGUCUAGUUGCGCACGGGUGCGUAACGCGUGGGAACCUGCCCUUAGGUUCGGAAUAACUCCCCGAAAGGGGUGCUAAUACCGGAUAAUGUCUUCGGACCAAAGAUUUAUCGCCUUUGGAUGGGCCCGGGUUGGAUUAGCUAGUUGGUAGGGUAAAAGCCUACCAAGGAGUCGAUCCAUAGCUGGUCUGAGAGGAUGGUCAGCCACACUGGGACUGAGACACGGCCCAGACUCCUACGGGAGGCAGCAGUGGGGAAUAUUGGAAAAUGGGCGAAAGCCUGAUCCAGCAAUGCCGCGUGAGUGAUGAAGGCCUUAGGGAUGUAAAGCUCUUUUACCCGGGAUGAUAAUGACAGUACCGAGAGAAUAAGCUCCGGCUAACUCCGUG